rnacentral:rRNA from 1 species
UACAGAGGGGGCAAGCGUUGUUCGGAAUUACUGGGCGUAAAGGGCGCGUAGGCGGCCUGCUAAGUCGAACGUGAAAUCCCUGGGCUCAACCCAGGAACUGCGUCCGAUACUGGUUGGCUUGAAUCCGGGAGAGGGACGUGGAAUUCCAGGUGUAGCGGUGAAAUGCGUAGAUAUAGGAAGGAACACCAGUGGCGAAGGCGACUACCUGGACUGAUACUGACACUGAGGUGCGAAAGCGUGGGGAGCAAACAGG